rnacentral:rRNA from 1 species
UACGUAGGGGGCAAGCGUUGUCCGGAUUUACUGGGCGUAGAGAGCGUGUAGGCGGCCAAACAGGUCCGUUGUGAAAACUGGAGGCUCAACCUUCAGACGUCGACGGAAACCGUUUGGCUAGAGUCCGGAAGAGGAGAGUGGAAUUCCUGGUGUAGCGGUGAAAUGCGCAGAUAUCAGGAGGAACACCAGUGGCGAAGGCGGUUCUCUGGGCAUUACCUGACGCUGAGGAGCGAAAGUGUGGGGAGCGAACAGG